AUACUUUACUGUAUUAUAUUCAGUUCAAACUACUGGUUAGGUACAAUAGUCGUGGCGGUAGUAUCAUAGAGUAGGGGCACUCAGCAUCAUCCACGAUUAUAGAAUUCACUUUAUUCAAUAUGGAAUAUCUUGACAAAGACUCAUCUCCAGAUACACGUCGACCACUCUCCAAACACGUUUCAUGAAGUGUACGUGGAGUAUGUGAUAUGUUAUCAUAGAGGAUGUGCAGAAAGGAGAAAGUUUCUUUGAAAAUGUGUUCAUAAUUCAUGUGCAGCACGCCAUGAAAUUCGUCGUAGUAGUAUUGGAGAGCUUGAAGAUAGUUAUUUUUUAAGCAUCUUUUAACCUUUUUUAUAUUUUUUAAGUAAG